rnacentral:rRNA from 1 species
GACGAACGCUGGCGGCGUGCUUAACACAUGCAAGUCGAACGGAAAGGCCCUGCUUUUGUGGGGUGCUCGAGUGGCGAACGGGUGAGUAACACGUGAGUAACCUGCCCUUGACUUUGGGAUAACUUCAGGAAACUGGGGCUAAUACCGGAUAGGAGCUCCUGCUGCAUGGUGGGGGUUGGAAAGUUUCGGCGGUUGGGGAUGGACUCGCGGCUUAUCAGCUUGUUGGUGGGGUAGUGGCUUACCAAGGCUUUGACGGGUAGCCGGCCUGAGAGGGUGACCGGACACAAUGGGACUGAGAUACGGACCAGACUGCUACGGGAGGCAGCAGUGGGGAAUAGUGCACAAUGGGCGGAAGCCUGAUGCAGCAACGCCGCGUGCGGGAUGACGGCCUUCGGGUUGUAAACAGAUUUCGACUGUGACGAAGAGUGAGUGACGGUAAUGGGUAAAGAAGCACCGGCUAACUACGUG